GACGAACGCUGGCGGCGUGCUUAACACAUGCAAGUCGAACGGUGAAGCGCCUUCCUUUUUGGUGUGCGCGGAUGAGUGGCGAACGGGUUAGUAACACGUGAGUAACCUGCCCCCUUCUUCUGGAAAACCGCAUGAAAGUGUCGCUAAUACGGGAUAUUCUAGGUCUUUCGCAUGAUUAGUCUGGGAUAGAUAUGGUUUCGGUGGCUGAUGUGCUCGCGGCCUAUCAGCUUGCUGGGGGUGUGAUGGCCUACCGAGGCGGUGACGGGUAGCAGGCAUGAGAGGGUGGACGGUCUUACUGGGACUGAGACACGGCACAGACUACUACGGGAGGCAGCAGUGAGGAAUCUUGCACAAUGGAAGGAAGCAUGAUGCAGCGACGCCGCGUGAGGGAUGGACGCCGUCGGGUUGUGACCCUCUUUCGCCAGUGAAGCAGGCCUGGCUCGUUUGUGGGUGGGUUGACGGUAGCUGGAUAAGAAGCGCCGGCUAACUACGUG
rnacentral:rRNA from 1 species